rnacentral:lncRNA from 1 species
UUCCCAAUAGCACGCAUAGUUGUUGAUCCGUCCAUUUUGGAAGUACAUUUCGAGUUCUUAUGUGAAAGCUGGGUGGUGGUAAAUCUAACGUAGUCAAGAAUGCCAGAGUUUUGGACGGAGGAAGGGAGACGAUUAGUUUCUUCGCAGAAGACUAGACCUAGUUUUUGAUCGUGGAAAGUUUGAAGAAGGGAUUGACGGAAGAGCGCAAAAGAGUUUCGGACGGAGGAAAAAUAUUUUUUCCGGAGGAAGGGAGACGAUUAGUUUCUUCGCAGAAGACAAGAUCUAGUUUCUG